GCAGAACGCGAAGAACCUUACCAGGUCUUGACAUCCUCUUGGAUACUCUAGGGAUAGGGUAGACCUUCGGGACAAGAGAGACAGGUGGUGCAUGGUUGUCGUCAGCUCGUGUCGUGAGAUGUUGGGUUAAGUCCCGCAACGAGCGCAACCCUUGAUCUUAGUUGCCAGCACUCUGGGUGGGCACUCUAGGAUGACUGCCGGUGACAAACCGGAGGAAGGUGGGGAUGACGUCAAAUCAUCAUGCCCCUUAUGACCUGGGCUACACACGUACUACAAUGGCCGGUACAACGGGCAGCGAAGGGCGACUUGGAGCCAAUCCUAAAAAGCCGGUCUCAGUUCGGAUUGCAGGCUGCAACUCGCCUGCAUGAAGUCGGAAUUGCUAGUAAUCGCGGAUCAGCAUGCCGCGGUGAAUACGUUCCCGGGUCUUGUACACACCG
rnacentral:rRNA from 1 species